AGCAGCUGUAAUGUUUAUUUUACAGUAGUAUGCCUUUUGUUUUGAAGCUUCAGAUUAGAAUUUAGUGAUGUUCACUUUGGGUCUAAGUUUAUCUGUCAAACUAUCCCUCCUGGUGUAGCAUGUAGGGUUUUCAAUCUCUUUCUUGUUAUCCUCCUUGCUAUCCAUUUCUUGCAACACAGCUAACAUUGCAGCUGCAGUUUGAAGUUUGACCUGUGUUGUUUGGACAUUGUUUCAA
rnacentral:misc_RNA from 1 species